rnacentral:rRNA from 1 species
UACGUAGGGUGCGAGCGUUGUCCGGAUUUAUUGGGCGUAAAGGGCUCGUAGGCGGCGUGUCGCGUCGGGAGUGAAAGCCCGUUGCUUAACGGCGGGUUGGCUUUCGGUACGGGCAUGCUGGAGUGCGGCAGGGGAGACUGGAAUUCCUGGUGUAGCGGUGGAAUGCGCAGAUAUCAGGAGGAACACCGGUGGCGAAGGCGGGUCCCUGGGCCGUUACUGACGCUGAGGAGCGAAAGCGUGGGGAGCGAACAGG